UGGUGGAGUGAUUUGUCUGGUUAAUUCCGAUAACGAACGAGACCUUAACCUGCUAAAUAGCCAGGCCGGCUCCGCUGGUCGCAGGCUUCUUAGAGGGACUGUCGGCGUCUAGCUGACGGAAGUUUGAGGCAAUAACA
rnacentral:rRNA from 1 species